GAUGAACGCUGGCGGCGUGCCUAAUACAUGAAAGUCGAACGGGGAGUGGCAAUACUCUUAGUGGCGAACGGGUGAGUAACGCGUUGGUACCUGCCCCGAAGCGGGGGAUAACGGACCGAAAGGUCCGCUAAUACCCCAUGUGCUCGGUAACGAUUAAAGGUGAAAACCACUUUGGGAGGGGCCUGCGUCCCAUCAGCUAGUUGGUAAGGUAACGGCUUACCAAGGCGAUGACGGGUAGGGGACCUGAGAGGGUGGCCCCCCACAAUGGAACUGAAACACGGUCCAUACACCUACGGGUGGCAGCAGUAGGGAAUAUUGGUAAUGGGCGCAAGCCUGAACCAGCAACGCCGCGUGUGCGAUGACGGCCUUCGGGUUGUAAAGCACUUUUGACUGGGACGAGGAGGGACGGUACCGGUCGAAUCAGCCUCGGCUAACUACGUG
rnacentral:rRNA from 1 species